rnacentral:rRNA from 1 species
UCCCAAAAAUAAACGUACCCAGUUCGGAUUGCAGUCUGCAACUCGAGUGCAUGAAGCUGGAAUCGCUAGUAAUCGCGGAUCAGAAUGCCACGGUGAAUACGUUCCCGGGUCUUGUACACACCGCCCGUCACACCAUGGGAGCUGGUAACACCCGAAGUCAGUAGUCUAACCGCAAGGAGGACGCUGCCGAAGGCGGGAUUAGCGACUGGGGUGAAGUCGUAACAAGGUAAC